CCUGGCGGCACUAGCGCGGUGGUCCCACCUGACCCCAUGCCGAACUCUGAAGUGAAACGCCGUAGCGCCGAUGGUAGUGUGGGGUCUCCCCAUGUGAGAGUAGGGAACUGCCAGGC
rnacentral:rRNA from 1 species